rnacentral:rRNA from 1 species
AUGGUUUGGUCUGGGGUGCUCAUGGGAUGUGGAACGCUGACUAUGUUCCUUUGCUGGUCUGGUUGUUGUCCGGGGUUCCUCUGUGUUCUUCGGGUGGUGGGUGGUCGGGGUGGGCGGUACGCUGUUGGGUGUUUGAGGGAGUGAGAUGCCCUCGUGUAUGACCCUGCCUUCUGCUGGCCCGUUGGGGUUGGUGGGAGGCAGGUUUGCGGGCUGGGUUCGUCGUGGGAUACCGCUGUCUUUUAUGGUGGUGGGUCCUGCAGGUGCGGCUGGUUUCCGUUCGUAGUUUGAGAACUGCACAGUGGACGCUGAGCAUCUUUAUCUUUGUGGCCAAGUUAUUAAGGGCGCACGGUGGAUGUCUUGGCACCAGGAGCCGAUGAAGGACGUGGGAGGCUGCAGAUAUG